rnacentral:lncRNA from 1 species
AUGAGAGGAAACCUGGCGCAGCAGGCCUGCCUCCCCCUGCAGAUGAGCAUCUCCAUGCCCUUGUACAACAAUCCAAUGGUGUUCCCCCAAACCCACCCAAUCACUGUGUCUACUCCGAUGGCGGCUGAAAUGGGCGACAGGCAGCAGCUGUCAGAUUAUAGCCAAGAUCGGACUUUAAGUAGGUUUGCUCAAGACCAGCAGGGUCUGCCUCCUGCAAUACAGAUGCAACCGAUCACAUGCACCGCGAUCCGUGCCCCAACCCCGUCACCCGUAUUCAGCCCUUCAGUGAUGAUCCCACACACCAACCUAGCUGCACCACAAACCCACCCUCCCAGCACCCUGCAGCAGUGGCAGCCACAGCAGGUUCAACAGCAUCAUCUCUAUCUUCAGAUGCACAGUGCACCUGAUCAAGGCCAGAACCAACGUCUCUUCCAGCAGGCUCACCUCCCGCAGCAGAACGCCGCCCUGGGCUAUUUCCAUCACCCGCAACAGCUGCAGAACCACCACUUGCCCAGCCAGCCUUGUGGUUUACAGGACAUGCAUGAGAUGCAACUGCCUUGA